UAUUAAAAAGAGAGAGAGAAAGAAUUAAGAAGAGAUAUGGGAUUAAGGGCAGGUCGUUUAUGUUUGUUGUUGAUGUUCAUGGUAAUGAUAGUACUGUAUUUGCCAAUUUCAGGGAAAGGUGAUGGGGAAAUGAAAACAAUAAUGAGAGGCAAAAGGUGUUUGACAGUGAAGAUAAAUGAUUAUGAUGAUCCAUCUCCAAAUGAAGGCCACAAUCCAUUUAAGUCUAAACCAAAAAAGCCACUUAAGGGUAAUAGAAAAGGGAAGCCUAACAAAAUUCAUAGUUAAUAUAUUUUAAGAAGUUUAUUUGGUUGUAAUUGAAGUCAUUUGAAUUUCAUUUAUACGGUUUGUGAAUUGGAUAUUGGUCACUAAUAGUUUAAAGGCUUUAUAUUUUUUACCAAAGUAUGCAAUAAUAUUUUCAAUCAAGUUUGCAUUUAACGAUAA